UACGGAGGAUGCGAGCGUUAUCCGGAUUUAUUGGGUUUACAGGGUGCGUAGGCGGUAUGGUAAGUCAGCGGUAAAAGCCCGGGGCUCAACCCCGGCGAGCCGUUGAAACUGGCAGACUUGAGUUGGCGAGAAGUACGCGGAAUGCGCGGUGUAGCGGUGAAAUGCAUAGAUAUCGCGCAGAACUCCGAUUGCGAAGGCAGCGUGCCGUGCCGCCACUGACGCUGAGGCACGAAAGCGCGGGGAUCGAACAGG
rnacentral:rRNA from 1 species